rnacentral:rRNA from 1 species
AUACGGAGGGUGCAAGCGUUAAUCGGAAUUACUGGGCGUAAAGCGCGCGUAGGCGGUCAUGUAAGUCGGGUGUGAAAUCCCCGGGCUCAACCUGGGAACUGCAUUCGAUACUGUAUGACUUGAGUUUGGUAGAGGGGAGUGGAAUUCCACAUGUAGCGGUGAAAUGCGUAGAUAUGAGGAGGAACACCAGUGGCGAAGGCGACUCCCUGGCCCAAAACUGACGCUCAGGUGCGAAAGCCUGGGUAGCAAACAGGAUUAGAAACCCUAGUAGUCC